rnacentral:lncRNA from 1 species
GACAGAAAGAGAGAGAGAGAGAGAGAGAGAGAGAGAGAGAGAGAGAGAGAGAGAGAGAGAGAGAGAGAGAAAGACAGAGAAGAAGACAGAGUCAGAGACAGAGAGAGACCCAACAUCAAUCUCUUGCCUCCACAUAUACUCGUACACAUACAGAGACAUGUAUAUACAGACUUGGGGAGAAGAAAAAACAAGGCAGUUAUUGAUAAGAAACUAACUGGGAAGGUCAGAGAUUAUGGGGUGACUGAAAAAGGUGCUGACGAGACUGACUGGUUAGGACUCUCCUACCUGGGCUUUGGGAAGUCGUGUAACAAGGGGAAGGUAUUGCUGGUGACUGGGUUGAAGUCUCAUACCCAUGGGGAGUGGAAGGCAGCAUCAUAGCCCCAGUGAGGAAAUGGAGUGCUCG